rnacentral:rRNA from 1 species
AACGAACGCUGGCGGCAGGCUUAACACAUGCAAGUCGAACGGAUCCUUCGGGCUUAGUGGCAGACGGGUGGGUAAAGCGUGGGAACGUACCCAUUGCUACGGAAUAACUCAGGGAAACUUGUGCUAAUACCGGAUGUGCCCUACGGGGGGAAGAUGGAUCGGCAAAGGAUCGGCCCGCGUUGGAUUAGCGAGGUGGUAGGGUAAUGGCCUACCAAGGCGACGAUCCAUAGCUGGUCUGAGAGGAUGGUCAGCCACACUGGGACUGAGACACGGCCCAGACUCCUGCGGGAGGCAGCAGUGGGGAAUAUUGGACGAUGGGCGUAAGCCGGAUCUAGCCAUGCCGCGUGAGUGAUGAAGGUGUUAGGAUUGUAAAGAUCUUUCACCGGUGAAGAUAAUGACGGUAGCCGGAGAAGAAGCCCCGGCUAACUUCGUG